UACAGAGGUCCCGAGCGUUGUUCGGAUUCACUGGGCGUAAAGGGUGCGUAGGUGGCGAGGUAAGUCGGAUGUGAAAGCUCGGAGCUCAACUCCGAAAUGGCAUUGGAAACUACCUUGCUCGAGGGUUGGAGGGGGGACUGGAAUUUUCGGUGUAGCAGUGAAAUGCGUAGAUAUCGAGAGGAACACCAGUGGCGAAGGCGAGUCCCCUGGACAACUCCUGACACUGAGGCACGAAAGCUAGGGGAGCAAACAGG
rnacentral:rRNA from 1 species